CCCGGGACUAAAGAUAGCGAUCUUCAGUCCCUAGCACUAAAGAUUGAUAUUUACUCUCGGUUAUUUCACUCGGGACUAAAUAUAGCGAUCUUUAGUCCUGGA
rnacentral:miRNA from 1 species